rnacentral:rRNA from 1 species
AUGGGGAGCAGCGCCAAGAAGCAGGAAGCCGUGAGGCGGUACGUCAGAUCCCGGGCUCCCAGGAUGCAAUGGACGGCCGAGCUCCACCGCAGCUUCCUGCAGGCCAUAGAGUGCCUCGGUGGAGAACACAAUGCCACUCCUAAGCUGGUUCUCAAGGUCAUGGGUGUGAAGGAGCUUACCAUAUCCCAUGUCAAGAGCCAUCUGCAGAUGUACAGAGGCCCGAGCACUCGCAAGGCCAAGAGAGAGGCGCAACCAGGGCUGCAAAGGAGGCACUCAUGUGCCGCUGAUGAGCAAGGAGGAGCCCCCUUCAUGUGCCCACCUCUGAAAAGGGCGAGGACGGGGGCGGGGACAGAGGCCGCGGGCGAAGGCAUGCAAGGCGGCCAAAGCCAAGGAAUCAGUGGGAUGAAGACCAGCGGCGCUGUCAACCCGUACUGCAUUGAUGAUUACUACAUGCAAGCCAUGGCCAUGGAGAGGAGAAUAAUGGAGGGCCUCAGCGGCUGGCAGAGGGAUGCUGCUGCUGCGGCUGCUGUUUCCGACCUCCGGACCGUGGGAUGCUUGGAGCAAGGAUCCGGCGACUUUAAGAUAAUCAAACCAGAAGCACACCACUACUAUCCUGGUCUUGCGGUGAAGAAGCAAGGACCCAAGGAGAAGGACGGCAACGGGACGGAGCAGUGCUCCCUGUCGCUGUCCCUUGGCCUGGACCCGAGAUGCCUCCGUGCCGCCGUCUCAUCCUCGUCGCCGAGCGAAGGGAGCUGCAUCGUCUCCUCGUCGCCGCCGCCGAGGAGGAGGAGCUCCAGCCACUGCUCCGGGCACUCCGGCUACUCCGACACCCAGGGCGUCAACUUGGACCUCUCCUUGUCCAUCUGCGGAUCUUAUUAG